CUACAGGGGUAUCUAAUCCUGUUCGCUCCCCAUACUUUCGAGCCUCAGCGUCAGUUACAGACCAGACAGCCGCCUUCGCCACUGGUGUUCUUCCAUAUAUCUACGCAUUUCACCGCUACACAUGGAGUUCCACUGUCCUCUUCUGCACUCAAGUUUCCCAGUUUCUAAUGCACUUCUUCGGUUAAGCCGAAGGCUUUCACAUCAGACUUAAAAAACCGCCUGCGCUCGCUUUACGCCCAAUAAAUCCGGACAACGCUUGCCACCUACGUAUUACCGCGGCUGCUGGCAC
rnacentral:rRNA from 1 species